rnacentral:rRNA from 1 species
AGAGUUCGAUUAUGGCUCAGGAUGAACGCUGGCGGCGUGCCUAACACAUGCAAGUCGAACGGUUAAACCGCCCUCGGGCGGACAUAGAGUGGCGAACGGGUGAGUAACACGUGGCCAACCUGCCCCCCUCUCCGGGACAGCCGCGGGAAACCGCGAUUAAUACCGGAUGACGCCCGGGCCCCGCAUGGGGCCCGGGCCAAAGCCCAGGCGGAGGGGGAUGGGGCCGCGGCCCAUCAGGCAGACGGCGGGGUGACGGCCCACCGUGCUUUCGACGGGUAGCCGGGUUGAGAGACCGACCGGCCACAUUGGGACUGAGAUACGGCCCAG